GGGGAAUAUUGCACAAUGGGCGAAAGCCUGAUGCAGCAACGCCGCGUGAGUGAAGAAGGUUUUCGGAUUGUAAAGCUCUGUCAUCUGGGACGAUAAUGACGGUACCAGAUGAGGAAGCCACGGCUAACUACGUGCCAGCAGCCGCGGUAAUACGUAGGUGGCAAGCGUUGUCCGGAUUUACUGGGCGUAAAGGAUGUGUAGGCGGAUAUUUAAGUGAGAUGUGAAAUCCCCGGGCUUAACUUGGGGGCUGCAUUUCAAACUGGAUGUCUAGAGUGCAGGAGAGGAAAGCAGAAUUCCUAGUGUAGCGGUGAAAUGCGUAGAGAUUAGGAAGAACACCAGUGGCGAAGGCGGUUCUCUGGACUGUAACUGACGCUGAGGCACGAAAGCGUGGGUAGCAAAC
rnacentral:rRNA from 1 species